rnacentral:tRNA from 1 species
ACGGCGGUAGCUCAGUCGGAUAAGCGCCUGCUUCUCACGUUAGAGGUGCUGGUUCGAAUCCCGGCGCUGACAUG